CCUACGGGUGGCAGCAGUGAGGAAUAUUGGUCAAUGGACGCGAGCCUGAACCAGCCAAGUAGCGUGAAGGAUGACUGCCCUAUGGGUUGUAAACUUCUUUUAUAUGGGAAUAAAAUGUUCCACGUGUGGGAUUUUUUAUGUACCAUAUGAAUAAGGAUAGGAUAACUCCGUGCCAGCAGACCAGGUAAUACGGAGGAUCCGAGGGUUAUCCGGAUUUAUUGGGGUUAAAGGGAACGUAGGUGGAUUGUUAAGUCAGUUGUGAAAGUUUGCGGCUCAACCGUAAAAUUGCAGUUGAAACUGGCAGUCUUGAGUACAGUAGAGGUGGGCGGAAUUCGUGGUGUAGCGGUGAAAUGCUUAGAUAUCACGAAGAACUCCGAUUGCGAAGGCAGCUCACUGGACUGCAACUGACACUGAGGCUCGAAAGUGUGGGUAUCAAACAGGAUUAGAUACCCUAGUAGUC
rnacentral:rRNA from 1 species